rnacentral:rRNA from 1 species
UACGGGGGGGGCAAGCGUUGUUCGGAUUUACUGGGCGUAAAGGGCGCGUAGGCGGUCAGCACAAGUCAGUUGUGAAAUCUCCGGGCUUAACUCGGAAAGGUCAACUGAUACUGUGCGACUAGAGUGCAGAAGGGGCAACUGGAAUUCUCGGUGUAGCGGUGAAAUGCGUAGAUAUCGAGAGGAACACCUGCGGCGAAGGCGGGUUGCUGGGCUGACACUGACGCUGAGGCGCGAAAGCUAGGGGAGCAAACGGG